rnacentral:rRNA from 1 species
CAGGCUUAACACAUGCAAGUCGAGGGGCAGCAUGGUCUUAGCUUGCUAAGGCCGAUGGCGACCGGCGCACGGGUGAGUAACACGUAUCCAACCUGCCGUCUACUCUUGGACAGCCUUCUGAAAGGAAGAUUAAUACAAGAUGGCAUCAUGAGUCCGCAUGUUCACAUGAUUAAAGGUAUUCCGGUAGACGAUGGGGAUGCGUUCCAUUAGAUAGUAGGCGGGGUAACGGCCCACCUAGUCUUCGAUGGAUAGGGGUUCUGAGAGGAAGGUCCCCCACAUUGGAACUGAGACACGGUCCAAACUCCUACGGGAGGCAGCAGUGAGGAAUAUCGGUCAAUGGGCGAGAGCCUGAACCAGCCAAGUAGCGUGAAGGAUGACUGCCCUAUGGGUUGUAAACUUCUUUUAUAAAGGAAUAAAGUCGGGUAUGGAUACCCGUUUGCAUGUACUUUAUGAAUAAGGAUCGGCUAACUCCGUGCCAGCAGCCGCGGUAAUACGGAGGAUCCGAGCGUUAUCCGGAUUUAUUGGGUUUAAAGGGAGCGUAGAUGGAUGUUUAAGUCAGUUGUGAAAGUUUGCGGCUCAACCGUAAAAUUGCAGUUGAUACUGGAUAUCUUGAGUGCAGUUGAGGCAGGCGGAAUUCGUGGUGUAGCGGUGAAAUGCUUAGAUAUCACGAAGAACUCCGAUUGCGAAGGCAGCCUGCUAAGCUGCAACUGACAUUGAGGCUCGAAAGUGUGGGUAUCAAACAGGAUUAGAUACCCUGGUAGUCCACACGGUAAACGAUGAAUACUCGCUGUUUGCGAUAUACUGCAAGCGGCCAAGCGAAAGCGUUAAGUAUUCCACCUGGGGAGUACGCCGGCAACGGUGAAACUCAAAGGAAUUGACGGGGGCCCGCACAAGCGGAGGAACAUGUGGUUUAAUUCGAUGAUACGCGAGGAACCUUACCCGGGCUUAAAUUGCAGAUGAAUUACGGUGAAAGCCGUAAGCCGCAAGGCAUCUGUGAAGGUGCUGCAUGGUUGUCGUCAGCUCGUGCCGUGAGGUGUCGGCUUAAGUGCCAUAACGAGCGCAACCCUUGUUGUCAGUUACUAACAGGUUCCGCUGAGGACUCUGACAAGACUGCCAUCGUAAGAUGUGAGGAAGGUGGGGAUGACGUCAAAUCAGCACGGCCCUUACGUCCGGGGCUACACACGUGUUACAAUGGGGGGUACAGAGGGCCGCUACCACGCGAGUGGAUGCCAAUCCCCAAAACCUCUCUCAGUUCGGACUGGAGUCUGCAACCCGACUCCACGAAGCUGGAUUCGCUAGUAACCGCGCAUCAGCCACGGCGCGGUGAAUACGUUCCCGGGCCUUGUACACACCGCCCGUCAAGCCAUGGGAGCCGGGGGUACCUGAAGUGCGUAACCGCGAGGAGCGCCCUAGGGUAAAACUGGUGACUG